rnacentral:rRNA from 1 species
AUUGAACGCUGGCGGCAGGCCUAACACAUGCAAGUCGAGCGGAUGAAGGGAGCUUGCUCCUGGAUUCAGCGGCGGACGGGUGAGUAAUGCCUAGGAAUCUGCCUGGUAGUGGGGGAUAACGUCCGGAAACGGGCGCUAAUACCGCAUACGUCCUGAGGGAGAAAGGGGGGGAUCUCCGGACCUCACGCUAUCAGAUGAGCCUAGGUCGGAUUAGCUAGUUGGUGGGGUAAAGGCCUACCAAGGCGACGAUCCGUAACUGGUCUGAGAGGAUGAUCAGUCACACUGGAACUGAGACACGGUCCAGACUCCUACGGGAGGCAGCAGUGGGGAAUAUUGGACAAUGGGCGAAAGCCUGAUCCAGCCAUGCCGCGUGUGUGAAGAAGGUCUUCGGAUUGUAAAGCACUUUAAGUUGGGAGGAAGGGCAGUAAGUUAAUACCUUGCUGUUUUGACGUUACCAACAGAAUAAGCACCGGCUAACUUCGUG